rnacentral:rRNA from 1 species
GGACGAAUCUUCCGCAAUGGGCGCAAGCCUGACGGAGCGACGCCGCGUGUGGGAUGAAGCGCCUUCGGCGUGUAAACCACUGUCAAGGGGUAGAACCAACGAUCACCCCUAAAGGAAGAGACGGCUAACUCUGUGCCAGCAGCCGCGGUAAUACAGAGGUCUCAAGCGUUAAUCGGAAUCACUGGGCUUAAAGGGUGCGUAGGCGGACCGUCCGUUCGCCCCGCGGUUCCCCGGUUGAGCCGGGGAACCG